UUAAGUUAAUAAGGGCGCACGGUGGAUGCCUUGGCACUAGAAGCCGAUGAAGGACGUGACUAACGACGAAAUGCUUUGGGGAGCUGUAAGUGAGCAAUGAUCCAGAGAUGUCCGAAUGGGGGAACCCGGCAGGUAAUGCCUGUCACUCAUUACUGUUAAGGUAAUGUAGAGGAAGACGCAGUGAACUGAAACAUCUAAGUAGCUGUAGGAAGAGAAAGCAAAAGCGAUUGCCUUAGUAGCGGCGAGCGAAACGGCAAGAGGGCAAACCGAAGAGUUUACUCUUCGGGGUUGUAGGACUGCAACGUGGACUUAAAGAUUAUAGAAGAACUACCUGGGAAGGUAGGCCAAAGAGAGUAAUAGCCUCGUAUUCGAAAUAGUCUUUAUACCUAGCAGUAUCCUGAGUACGGCGAGACACGAGAAAUCUCGUCGGAAUCUGGGAGGACCAUCUCCCAACCCUAAAUACUCUCUAGUGACCGAUAGUGAACCAGUACCGUGAGGGAAAGGUGAAAAGCACCCCGGGAGGGGAGUGAAAUAGAACCUGAAACCGUGUGCCUACAACAAGUUCGAGCCCGUUAAUGGGUGAGAGCGUGCCUUUUGUAGAAUGAACCGGCGAGUUACGAUAUGAUGCGAGGUUAAGUUGAAGAGACGGAGCCGUAGGGAAACCGAGUCUUAAUAGGGCGCAUUAGUAUCAUGUCGUAGACCCGAAACCAUGUGACCUACCCAUGAGCAGGUUGAAGGUGAGGUAAAACUCACUGGAGGACCGAACCAGGGCACGUUGAAAAGUGCUUGGAUGACUUGUGGGUAGCGGAGAAAUUCCAAACGAACUUGGAGAUAGCUGGUUCUCUCCGAAAUAGCUUUAGGGCUAGCGUCGAUGUUAAGUCUCUUGGAGGUAGAGCACUGUUUGGGUGAGGGGUCUAUCCCGGAUUACCAAUCUCAGAUAAACUCCGAAUGCCAAUGAGAUAUAAUCGGCAGUCAGACUGCGAGUGCUAAGAUCCGUAGUCGAAAGGGAAACAGCCCAGACCACCAGCUAAGGUCCCAAAAUAUAUGUUAAGUGGAAAAGGAUGUGGGGUUGCACAGACAACUAGGAUGUUAGCUUAGAAGCAGCUAUUCAUUCAAAGAGUGCGUAAUAGCUCACUAGUCGAGUGACCCUGCGCCGAAAAUGUACCGGGGCUAAAACAUAUUACCGAAGCUGUGGAUACCUUUAUAGGUAUGGUAGGAGAGCGUUCUAUGUGCGAAGAAGGUGUACCGUGAGGAGUGCUGGAGCGCAUAGAAGUGAGAAUGCCGGUAUGAGUAGCGAAAGACAGGUGAGAAUCCUGUCCACCGUAAGACUAAGGUUUCCAGGGGAAGGCUCGUCCGCCCUGGGUUAGUCGGGACCUAAGGAGAGACCGAAAGGUGUAUCCGAUGGACAACAGGUUGAUAUUCCUGUACUAGAGUAUAUAGUGAUGGAGGGACGCAGUAGGCUAACUAAACCAGACGAUUGGAAGUGUCUGGCCAAGCAGUGAGGUGUGAUAUGAGUCAAAUGCUUAUAUCUUUAACAUUGAGCUGUGAUGGGGAGCGAAGUUUAGUAGCGAAGUUAGUGAUGUCACACUGCCGAGAAAAGCUUCUAGCGUUAAUUAUACUCUACCCGUACCGCAAACCGACACAGGUAGUCGAGGCGAGUAGCCUCAGGUGAGCGAGAGAACUCUCGUUAAGGAACUCGGCAAAAUGGCCCCGUAACUUCGGGAGAAGGGGCGCUGACUGAUGGUCAGCCGCAGUGAAUAGGCCCAAGCAACUGUUUAUCAAAAACACAGCUCUCUGCUAAAUCGUAAGAUGAUGUAUAGGGGGUGACGCCUGCCCGGUGCUGGAAGGUUAAGAGGAGUGCUUAGCGUAAGCGAAGGCAUGAAUUGAAGCCCCAGUAAACGGCGGCCGUAACUAUAACGGUCCUAAGGUAGCGAAAUUCCUUGUCGGGUAAGUUCCGACCCGCACGAAAGGCGUAAUGAUUUGGGCACUGUCUCAACGAGAGACUCGGUGAAAUUUUAGUACCUGUGAAGAUGCAGGUUACCCGCGACAGGACGGAAAGACCCCAUGGAGCUUUACUGCAGUUUGAUAUUGAGUAUCUGUACCACAUGUACAGGAUAGGUAGGAGCCUAUGACCUCGGGACGCCAGUUUCGAGUGAGGCGUUGUUGGGAUACUACCCUUGUGUUAUGGCUACUCUAACCCAGAUAGGUUAUCCCUAUCGGAGACAGUGUCUGACGGGCAGUUUGACUGGGGCGGUCGCCUCCUAAAAGGUAACGGAGGCGCCCAAAGGUUCCCUCAGAAUGGUUGGAAAUCAUUCGCAGAGUGUAAAGGUAUAAGGGAGCUUGACUGCGAGAGCUACAACUCGAGCAGGGACGAAAGUCGGGCUUAGUGAUCCGGUGGUUCCGUAUGGAAGGGCCAUCGCUCAACGGAUAAAAGCUACCCUGGGGAUAACAGGCUUAUCUCCCCCAAGAGUUCACAUCGACGGGGAGGUUUGGCACCUCGAUGUCGGCUCGUCGCAUCCUGGGGCUGUAGUCGGUCCCAAGGGUUGGGCUGUUCGCCCAUUAAAGCGGCACGCGAGCUGGGUUCAGAACGUCGUGAGACAGUUCGGUCCCUAUCCGUCGCGGGCGUAGGAAAUUUGAGAGGAUCUGCUCCUAGUACGAGAGGACCAGAGUGGACUUACCGCUGGUGUACCAGUUGUUCUGCCAAGAGCAUCGCUGGGUAGCUAUGUAGGGAAGGGAUAAACGCUGAAAGCAUCUAAGUGUGAAGCCCACCUCAAGAUGAGAUUUCCCAUGAUUUUAUAUCAGUAAGAGCCCUGAGAGAUGAUCAGGUUGAUAGGUUAGAAGUGGAAGUGUGGUGACACAUGUAGCGGACUAAUACUAAUAGCUCGAGGACUUAUCCAA
rnacentral:rRNA from 1 species